UGGAAUGGGAAUAAAUGUUGUUCUGUUACC
rnacentral:piRNA from 1 species